rnacentral:misc_RNA from 1 species
UACAGUCACUCAACUUCAAUUUUUUUUUCUUAAAAGCACUUCAGCUUCAAUUUGGUGAACAACAAAGUCAUUUUCACUAUUUUCUGUCCAAAGCUCUAACGAUUUGAUGACAUGGCAAUGCCACGUGGCAUUUUAAAAAGGAAAAAAAAAUCUCUUUCAUCCGUGUGGAAUUUUUAAUUCGAUAAAAUAAUUUUCUCUUCCAUGCAGAAGAGAUUUGUUAAUCUCACAUUAAACACCAAAUAUUCUCCUCUUCCAUAAACUCUCCAAUGACUCUCCAAACAUAUUGCUUUGCAUUUGCAUCUCCAUCCACCUAUCCAAUUUGGGUUAUAGGUUACAGCGAAGGUAAAAAAAAUUAUGCCAAAAAAGAAAUGGUAAUCAACUAAUCUCAAGAAGCGGUAAUUUUAAUUCAAUUUCAUUUCCAUUCAUUUUAACCAAAUUUAUUAAAGAAUUUCCGAUUAUUUAAAACAUUAUGUAAUAUUCAGUUCAAAAUAAACAAAAACUCUUCAGUUUUAAAGCAUUUGGGACAAUUCUAAGUUCUAAAACAUGGCUAAAACACAAAAUGUUUAAAGGGCAUUUCAACAAACAGCUCGUGCUAGUAGCAAAAUCAACAAAUUAGCCUAACAAUGGUCACUAAGUGCAUCUCAUUUCUCAUGAAUAAAAACUCAAGAAGAUCACACUUGUGCACCAUUAGUUUAAGAAAAAUCCAAUAAGAUUCAAAUAAGGAAACAAAUAAAGAUAGAAUAUCUUCUAUGAAGAAAAUACCAGGUACUUGGAGGAAAUACUGCAACAAAGAAGUAGCCCAAAUCCAAUAUAAUGACCAAAAUUAGGAGAGAGAAAAAGAGUUUAGAAACAAAAGGCUCUACAAAGGGGAGGGAGUGAGGAGAGAAAACAACAUCAGCCGAACUCAUUUCUAACUGACUCAAACACCUCCUCCUUGCUGGCAAAGCUCCAAGAGCUCUCUCUUGCCUUCAUCUUCACUAUUUCAACACCAGUGAACUCCCUUAAAUAAAAUUCACGAACUGGAGGAG